UGAACGCUGGCGGCAUGCUUUACACAUGCAAGUCGAACGGUAACAGGCCUUCGGGUGCUGACGAGUGGCGAACGGGUGAGUAAUGCAUCGGAACGUGCCCAGAGGUGGGGGAUAACGCAGCGAAAGCUGUGCUAAUACCGCAUGUGAUCUGAGGAUGAAAGCGGGGGACCAGGCAGCAAUGUUUGGCCUCGCGCCUUUGGAGCGGCCGAUGUCAGAUUAGGUAGUUGGUGGGGUAAAGGCCUACCAAGCCGACGAUCUGUAGCUGGUCUGAGAGGACGACCAGCCACACUGGGACUGAGACACGGCCCAGACUCCUACGGGAGGCAGCAGUGGGGAAUUUUGGACAAUGGGCGCAAGCCUGAUCCAGCAAUGCCGCGUGCGGGAAGAAGGCCUUCGGGUUGUAAACCGCUUUUGUACGGAACGAAAAGGCUCUGGCUAAUACCUGGGGCUGAUGACGGUACCGGAAGAAUAAGCACCGGCUAACUACGUG
rnacentral:rRNA from 1 species